GAUGAAGAACGUAGUGAAAUGCGAUACGUAAUGUGAAUUGCAGAAUUCAGUGAAUCAUCGAAUCUUUGAACGCACAUUGCGCCCGCCAGCACUCUGGCGGGCAUGCCUGUCCGAGCGUCAUUUCAACCCUCAGGGCCCCUUCGGGGGACCUGGCGUUGGGGAUCGGCCCGCCCCCGUGCGGCGCCGUCCCCGAAAUAUAGUGGCGGUCUCGCUGCAGCCUCCCCUGCGUAGUAGCACACCUCGCACUGGAGAGCGGCGCGGCCACGCCGUGAAACCCCCAACUUCUGAAUGUUGACCUCGGAUCAGGUAGGAAUACCCGCUGAACUUAAGCAUAUCAAUAAGCGGAGGA
rnacentral:misc_RNA from 1 species